rnacentral:tRNA from 1 species
GAUGAGAUGACUGAGGGGCUAAGGUGGUAAUUUGCUAAAUUACUUAAGCAUGAGCUUUGCAUGGGUUCGAGUCCCAUUCUCAUCG